CUUUGUUCAGACUGGAAUAUAUUCAGCACAAUUUAGCACCGUCUGCCCAUUUCAGCCCUUAAAAUAUCGAUUUCUAGACUAUGCUUAUUUGCUACCGAGCCCACAAAGUUAGCUCAAAGGAAAGUGUUUUGUUAAACAUCUGUAAAAACCGCUGGGGCCGAGCGGUUAAUGUAGCACAAAUUCAAGAUCCGUGUCGAGCUAGCCACAAUCAAACACAGCAUUUCCGGUGCGAUUCUCCAAAAUAAAUCUGGCAGUGGGCGCGAGCGAAGGCGGUCUCCUCGUCCAAGACUGUCGGUAGAAAUGAAAAGCCAACAGAAAAGCCCUGAGCCAGAUGGAAGUGUUACCAUCAACGAGGAGGGGUCUGUAGCCACGGCAGAGGACCCGGCAGCUAUUGCAACCAUUCAGUCUGCUGCCACCUUCACUGACCAACCCAUUAAAUAUCUCUUCAAGACAGAAGGAGCAGGCGG